AUUGAACGCUGGCGGCAGGCCUAACACAUGCAAGUCGAGCGGAUGAAGGGAGCUUGCUCCUGGAUUCAGCGGCGGACGGGUGAGUAAUGCCUAGGAAUCUGCCUGGUAGUGGGGGAUAACGUCCGGAAACGGGCGCUAAUACCGCAUACGUCCUGAGGGAGAAAGUGGGGGAUCUUCGGACCUCACGCUAUCAGAUGAGCCUAGGUCGGAUUAGCUAGUUGGUGGGGUAAAGGCCUACCAAGGCGACGAUCCGUAACUGGUCUGAGAGGAUGAUCAGUCACACUGGAACUGAGACACGGUCCAGACUCCUACGGGAGGCAGCAGUGGGGAAUAUUGGACAAUGGGCGAAAGCAUGAUCCAGCAAUGCCGCGUGUGUGAAGAAGGUCUUCGGAUUGUAAAGCACUUUAAGUUGGGAGGAAGGGCAGUAAGUUAAUACCUUGCUGUUUUGACGUUACCAACAGAAUAAGCACCGGCUAACUUCGUG
rnacentral:rRNA from 1 species